AAGCCAACAAGAAUUCUCUCAUCAGCUGCGACCGAGUCAAUCGUUUCUCCCAAAACGCAAAAGUUGCAACGACGUUUCGAUUAACUCUCCGCAUCGGCAUCACGACUACAGAUUUGGAGCAUCGGCGCCGCAUCGCGAUUCGGCCUCAAUCAUCAUCGUGUUCAAGCUUCAACAUCAUCUCACACUCUGAAAUCCGCAUCAACAACUUAACUCGAGAUUCAUCAUUGCACGCGCGCACAAACGGAGAAAACGAAAUCGAAAUUAAAGCGAGGAACUCACGGGUAUCUGAAGCCUCAAUCACAAACAGGUAUUGAUUCCUCCUAUUUGAUUACGAUAUGUUCUUCCUUCUUCUUCUUCAAUCCUCUUCCGCGUUCAUGUUCUUCUUCUUCUUCGUUUCCAACAUAGACCUGCUUCUGUUACUGUGCUCGCAAUUUGUUUUAGUGGUUAUUUGUGGGGUGAACAGAGGUGCAAGAUAGAUAAUCCUCAGGUUGAAGGCGAUUGAAGUUCCAGUUAAAGAUGGUACAGAGUUGAAGGAAUGGUGCAGGGAAGAGCUCGAUGCCAUGAAGAGAAUUCUUCAGGUUGAAAAAGAAGAAAAUGCAGAAAUGACGAAUCCUCCCCCAAUCUGAUGUGUGAACGUGUUUAUAUAGCCAUCAAAUCAGUUACAAAUUCAUCUGAAAUUCAGCUUGAAAUGAAAUGGUUAACAUGAAUCAGUGAUUGGAAUGAAAUAAAAAAAUCAGUCUGUUGUUGUGAACUGCUAGUUUUAAAUGUCAGCAUUGGGUGAGGCUAAGUGAAAUCGUUUUGUAGGUUAUAACUAAUUAAUUUUGUUAUGUUCUUUUUUGCAGGGUUAAUGUUGGUCAAUAGUCUACUUUGUUAUAAGAUAAACUGAGAUUUCCCACUUGACUCCAAAGUCACUUGCUUAGGAUUACUUUGAGCUACCAAUUGAGGUAUAGCAUGGUAUCGCAUUCGAUAAAUCAGCAUCAGAAUCUAAACUUGACAAGCCUGCUCAUGAGGUUUCCCAUUAUCCCAAGCCUCGGGUGCCGCAAAAUUGUCAUUGUGCUUUUCCCAAUCAGGGUGAAAGGACUGUAGACUAUGUGUUAUGAGCUGCAGGGGCGUUAUUGUUAUUUGUUGUAUGCGUGAGAAGAGGUUGAUAUGAAAUUGCGUGGUGAUGUUAAGUUUCAAAGCUACCAUGGUGCAAGGCUUGAAUGUGUUAAUUGAAUGUAUGAUGAAGGGUUAAGUGGUUGCAAUUCUGUUACCACUAUGUUUAGAAGAUUCUGCAGGUUAAAUGGAAGAGUGAUUUUGGAAGAUUGUUAGCCAUGGAAUGCUAUUGAACCUGCAAAAUGUAUGGAUUGAAAUGCAAUUGAAUCAGAUUAAUGCCUAUAACCUUGUUUGAUAGAAUUGGAUUAAAUAUGGAAAAUGUAUGGAUUGUAAUGUUUAAUUUUAACUAUGCAUCUCAUGAGAAUGUGUGUAAAUUGGCUUUGUAAUAUGAAUCAUAUGCCAUGGUCAAUAUAUGGAAUGUGAAAUGAAUGUGUUGGUUUGAAAUGCAUAAA